CCUGCCCCUAGAGGCACUGCAGAUGUGGCUGCUGUGUCACAUGUGCGUCAGCAGGUGGCAGAGAGGAGAGAGACGAUGUCUAUGCUCAGUGUUCUGACCUGUCAACAUCUGAAAAAAAGCAAGCCUGAGAUG
ensembl:snoRNA LOC120103298 small nucleolar RNA SNORA17